rnacentral:rRNA from 1 species
CACGUAGGUGGCAUGGUAAGUCACAGGUGAAAGCCCUCGGCUCAACCGAGGAAUUGCCUUUGAAACUGCCUUGCUUGAGUCCGGGAGGGGGGAGCGGAAUUCCCAGUGUAGCGGUGAAAUGCGUAGAUACUGGGAGGAACACCGGUGGCGAAGGCGGCUCCCUGGACCGGUACUGACACUGAGGUGCGAAAGCGUGGGUAGCAAACAGGAUUAGAUACCCUGGUAGUCC